rnacentral:lncRNA from 1 species
UUGGGACCUUUUUGGGGCUAAAAAUAAAAAUAAGUGUAAUAUGCACUUUUCAAACGGUUACUGGCGUGGGGCAUGUAUAUUUUGUAGUUGCUGCAAAGUGUAAGGGUUGGAUAUUUUCGAUGCUGUAUUCUCUCUAUUGAUUGUCUAUCAUAAAAUGAUAGUAUGGAUCCAAAGCUAUGAACUGAUAAAUUUGAUGUGGGACUUGUCAAUAGAAAAUAGACAUGGAAAAUUCUCGCUGUUUUGUUGUAAGUUAAGUUAUCAUAACUUCACAGAUUUCUUGUUGUAAACAAGAUAUACGCCGGGGUAUUCAAUGAAAUUUACAAUACGGCCGGCACAAGUGAAAAAAGACAAACAAGCAAUUUCUUAUCCAAAUGUUUUGUUGAUAUGUUUAACCCAACAAAAUUAAGGGAAGUGAGGGGUUCCAAAUCAACCAAAGGC